rnacentral:rRNA from 1 species
AUUGAACGCUGGCGGCAUGCCUUACACAUGCAAGUCGAACGGCAGCACGGGAGCAAUCCUGGUGGCGAGUGGCGAACGGGUGAGUAAUAUAUCGGAACGUGCCCGGUCGUGGGGAUAACGUAGCGAAAGCUACGCUAAUACCGCAUACGAUCUACGGAUGAAAGCGGGGGAUCGCAAGACCUCGCGCGAUUGGAGCGGCCGAUAUCAGAUUAGGUAGUUGGUGAGGUAAAGGCUCACCAAGCCGACGAUCUGUAGCUGGUCUGAGAGGACGACCAGCCACACUGGGACUGAGACACGGCCCAGACUCCUACGGGAGGCAGCAGUGGGGAAUAUUGGACAAUGGGCGAAAGCCUGAUCCAGCAAUGCCGCGUGCAGGAUGAAGGCCUUCGGUUGUUAAACGUAGCUUUUGUUACGGAACGAAACGGUAGAGCUCUAAUACAGUUUGUCUAAUAG